AACUCUAGCUAUCUUUUGUCUGUGAUAAUCAUGGCUUUUUUUACUAAUGGAGCAUCACAUGUUAUGUUCUGUAUACUUCAUAGAUGAUGUUCUUGUGUAUUCACAAAUGUGCAUUUGUUUUCUCCUUGAUAAUCUGGUUUUUCUGAAUAUUUUAACUAUUAUCAUAGAUAUUUAGAAAUAGGGCCUACGCUCAGCUUCAGUCUCAACUGGGAUUUUGAGGCAAGUUGCAUUAUAAGUGUGCUCCAUUGUGAUUUUAACUAGCUCCGCACUAUUAGAUCAAUAAUUUAUGGGCGUGUUUGAUUCUAUUUUUGUUUUUAUGUUCUUUAAAAUUCUACUGCACUCUCUCAAGUUAGUAGUUAGCACACUGUCAGUUUGUAAAGGUAGUUAUUGACAGCUGUCAUAUCUAACUAAGUGUUUCCUAACUAACUGUAUUGCAACUAACUUCACAACUCUAUAAACAGAGUGUUGUAACUCAGGAUUCAAUUACCUCAAUAAUAUUUUCUCAUUCCUUUUAUCUUCCUUCUUUUCUCCUUUUUCUAUGAUCUGAAGAGAGUUCUUAUAUGAUCUAUUAGUUUUCUAAUAUGGUAUCUAGAGCUUGGUGAGAUCUUCAAUGGCUGCAAACAGCACCAUGCUCCUUUCCACAUCUUCUUUUUCCAAUUCCAUAUCACAUAAACUUGAUGAUUCAAGCUUUCUUCUAUGGCGUCAACAAGUUGAGCCUGUUAUCAAAUCACACAAACUUCAACGAUUCGUUGCUAAUCCUCAGAUUCCGCUUUGAUUUCUCUCUGAGGAAGAUCGUGAAGUUGGAUGUGAAAAUCCAGCUUACGAAGCAUGGGAACAACAAGAUCAGGCUUUAUUAACCUGGCUUCAAUCCACUCUUUCUACACCAAUUCUUUCUCAUGUAAUGAUGUAAUCAGUUGAAAUCAUUCCUAUGAAGUCUAGGAGUGCAUUCAUGAUUACUUCUACAAGCAGACAAUCGCCACGGCGCAUCAGUUGCGCACUCAACUUCGAGCAACGAAACUUGGAAGCUAGUUGAUGUGAGAGUUUGUCUCACAUCAAAGCACUCACUGAUGCUCUUGCUUCAGUAGGAAGCCCUAUAAUGAUUCAAGAGCACGUGGAUUCAAUUCUUGAAGGUCUUACUCCAGAUUAUCACCUGAUAAUUGAGAGCAAGUUUGAACGUUCCAAUCGCGCAAGUUGAAGCGCUUCUUCUAGCUCAUGAGUCUCAUCUGAAUAAUUUCACUAAUCAGGCAGCCUCACCUUCGAUUAAUUACACUCAUGCGCAACUCAGUGAAUUUGCAUUCUGAAAAUUACACUGUGCCAAACAAGUCAAGUUCUCAAUCAGAUCCUGAAAGUUUUUCUGGUUUUCGCGGUGGUUCUGCGCGCAGUGGCUAUAAUAAGGGUGGCAGCAGCAACGGUCGUUGUGGUGGUGGCAGUAGUGGCCGUGGUCGCACUGGUGCAGGUUGAUUUGCCAAUUUCCAAUGCCAAGUCUGCUUUAAAUUUGGUCAUGCUGCAGCUGUUUGUCACUAUCGCUAUGAUCAAUAUUAUCAACCAAAUUCUGCCCUAUCUCUACAUGAUCCUAUGAGUGCUGAUUAUUCCUCACACACCUCAUCUCAGAGGAAUGACACUCAGCAUAAUGGCAAUUUUGGUCAGACUUGUAGUGAACCUCGUCCCUCUAAUGUUUAUACCAACAAUACUUACAAAUCUGGAAAUACCAGCAUGGCAAACCCUAGUGCCAAUGCUAUGCUGACCAAUGCACAGCCUCAGUCCAACUCUACAAACUGAAUUCCUGAUUCUGGUGCCUCGUUUCAUGUCACUGGUGAGUCACAGAACAUUCAACAGCUAGAGCCCUCUGAAGGACCAGAACAGAUUUUCAUAGGAAACGGCCAAGGUUACCAAUGAAGUGUUAUUUCAAGGUACUGUUGGUCCUGAUGGUUCAUACACUUUUCCCAACAUCCAGUUUCAUUCAUCUUCAACUGGUGUUGCUUCAUACUGCUUGUCUACUGCUGUCAAUUCUGUUAAUCCUGCCACUUCUAAAGUCAAUUGCCCUUUAGAUACUUGUAAUAAGAUUGACAAUUCCCUUGUAACUCCAUGUAAUGGGUCCAAUAGUGUUUGGCAUGACAGACUUGGUCAUCCAAAUAGUCAUGUUUUACAGCUUGUUCUCAAACAUUGUUUUUUUUGUCAGCAAAAGUAUGCAUGUAUUAUAUAAUUAUAUAUAUAAAACAGUACAAGUAGUACUAGAUUCUGUACAUCCCAGCGUGCAAGUCAUCCCAGUGUUCUCAAACAUUGUAAUAUUCCCACCAUUAAUAAAAAUUUGCUUGAAUUUUGUUCA